AAUCUCUUCCCUCCAAAAAGUGCAGUGUACUAUUUUAUCACCUGGUAGAGGAAGAUGUCCUCAUACGGUGAGGUCAUCCUUCUGAUCCUGUCCAGGGACCUUGAAAAAGCAGCUAGAUUUAAGAGAGUGCUGGGAUACCUCUGGAUGCUGCAGUCUCUGAGUCUUCAGUGAGAAGCUGGGAGAUUGACAGAUCUCUGGCUGAG
rnacentral:lncRNA from 1 species